UAGGGAAUCUUCCGCAAUGGACGCAAGUCUGACGGAGCAACGCCGCGUGAGUGAAGAAGGAUUUCGGUUCGUAAAACUCUGUUGUUAGAGAAGAACAGCGCAUAGAGUAACUGUUAUGCGUGUGACGGUAUCUAACCAGAAAGCCACGGCUAACUACGUGCCAGCAGCCGCGGUAAUACGUAGGUGGCAAGCGUUGUCCGGAUUUAUUGGGCGUAAAGCGAGCGCAGGCGGUCAAUUAAGUCUGAUGUGAAAGCCCCCGGCUCAACCGGGGAGGGGCAUUGGAAACUGGUUGACUUGAGUGCAGAAGAGGAGAGUGGAAUUCCAUGUGUAGCGGUGAAAUGCGUAGAUAUAUGGAAGAACACCAGUGGCGAAGGCGACUAUCUGGUCUGUAACUGACGCUGAGGCUCGAAAGCGUGGGUAGCAAACAGG
rnacentral:rRNA from 1 species